AUUCCAGCUCCAAUAGCGUAUAUUAAAGUUGUUGCAGUUAAAAAGCUCGUAGUUGGAUUUGUGGUUGGAGCGGUCGGUCCGACACUCUGUGUGGGUACUUGACUGUCUCCGUCCAUCCUUGGGUGGAACCUGUGUGGCAUUAGGUUGUCGUGCAGGGGAUGCCCAUCUUUUACUGUGAAUAAAUUAGAGUGUUCAAAGCAGGCUUACGCCGUUGAAUAUGCUAGCAUGGAAUAAUAAGAUAGGACCUUGGUACUAUUUUGUUGGUUUGCGCACCGAGGUAAUGAUUAAUAGGGACAGUUGGGGGUAUUCGUAUUGCACUGUCAGAGGUGAAAUUCUUGGAUUUUUGCAAGACGAACGACUGCGAAAGCAUUUACCAAGGAUGUUUUCAUCA
rnacentral:rRNA from 1 species